GAUUUCUGACGAACCGGAGUGGCCCGUUUCCUUUCCGGGAAUGAGUGCCGCUUUGAGUUUGUCAUCCUUCCAGAGAGCUGCGUCUACCGUUUACUCGGCCGGACGUAUCGAUCUGGAUCUAUUACUUUGAAAAAAUUAGAGUGUUUAAAGCAGGCUUAUGCUCUGAAUACAUUAGCAUGGAAUAAUAAUUUAGGACUUUGGUUCUAUUUUGUUGGUUUCUAGAACUCGAGUAAUGAUUGAUAGGGAUAGUUGGGGGUGCUAGUAUUCAGUGGCCAGAGGUGAAAUUCUUGGAUUCACUGAAGACUAACUUAUGCGAAAGCAUU
rnacentral:rRNA from 1 species